ACGCACGCUGGCGGCGUGCCUAAUACAUGCAAGUCGAACGCAUUUUCUUUCACCGUAGCUUGCUACACCGAAAGAAAAUGAGUGGCGAACGGGUGAGUAACACGUGGGUAACCUGCCCAUCAGCGGGGGAUAACACUUGGAAACAGGUGCUAAUACCGCAUAAUUCCAUUUACUGCAUGGUAGAUGGAUGAAAGGCGCUUUUGCGUCACUGAUGGAUGGACCCGCGGUGCAUUAGCUAGUUGGUGGGGUAACGGCCUACCAAGGCUGCGAUGCAUAGCCGACCUGAGAGGGUGAUCGGCCACACUGGGACUGAGACACGGCCCAGACUCCUACGGGAGGCAGCAGUAGGGAAUCUUCGGCAAUGGACGCAAGUCUGACCGAGCAACGCCGCGUGAGUGAAGAAGGUUUUCGGAUCGUAAAACUCUGUUGUUGGAAAAGAACAAGGAUGAGAGUGGAAAGUUCAUCCCUUGACGGUAUCUAACCAGAAAGCCACGGCUAACUACGUG
rnacentral:rRNA from 1 species